GGGAUGAGCUUGCGUCCGAUUAGCUAGUUGGCGGGCAACGGCCCACCAAGGCGACGAUCGGUAGCCGGCCUGAGAGGGUGAUCGGCCACAUUGGGACUGAGAUACGGCCCAGACUCUACGGGAGGCAGCAGUAGGGAAUAUUGCACAAUGGGGGAAACCCUGAUGCAGCAACGCCACGUGUGGGAAGAAGCAUUUCGGUGUGUAAACCACUGUCGUGAGGGAAUAAGACCGCCCCGGGCGGGGUUGAAUGUACCUCGAAAGGAAGCACCGGCAAACUUCGUGCCAGCAGCCGCGGUAAUACGAGGGGUGCAAGCGUUGUUCGGAAUCACUGGGCGUAAAGGGAGCGUAGGCGGAGAAGCAAGCGGUCUGUACAAGACCGGGGCCCAACCCCGGACCUGCAGACCGGACUGCUCCUCUUGGAUAGUUCAGGGGCAGGCGGAAUUCCUGGUGUAGCGGUGGAAUGCGUAGAGAUCAGGAAGAACACCGAUGGCGAAGGCAGCCUGCUGGGGACUUAUCGACGCUGAGGCUCGAAAGUGCGGGUAGCAAACAGGAUUAGAUACCCUGGUAGUCC
rnacentral:rRNA from 1 species